GGCUCAAUUCGUUAUAUUUUCUUCCA
rnacentral:piRNA from 1 species